GUGAGAUUACAAAAGUAGCGGCCACAGGAGGGUGGACACGGGAUCACGUGAAUCGGCUCGGCCAAUCAGAACGCGCCAAAAAAUCAUUUUUUGUUUGAAGAGCUCCCGGACAACUUUACUUUGUAGCAGAUUUGUUGUUUAAUCGGGGUAGAAAAAUGUAAAACCUACUGAGUUGCAGAACCCAUUCAUUGUAGAACCCACCACAUGCUGGAUGGAGGGGGUUCAGCCGACCCACAAGGCCGUCUAUCGCCAUGUACAAUGGAACGCCUUCUCUGUCGUUGUGCUGCAAGUCUAUCUCCGACAGUCCAACAACAGCAAAAGAUUGUACCGUUGCAGAACUGUCCUUGUGGCGAAAAUGUCUAACCAAUCAGAUAGGACUACAUGUGUCCAAUCAUAGACCUUGUUAGAAUGCCACACGUGUGACACUGGGAUCGAGUGGCAGAACAGUCUUCCCUCUUCUUCCCUGGGAUCGAGUUUGGUAUGGCAGAACGGUCGUUUGUUGAUAAUAUAACUGAUUUCUGAGGAAUUGAUAAAGCAGAGAAACACCCAAGAGGAAAGGAUUUAGCAAAAGUUAUGUUCCCUUACUCGUCCUAAGACGGAGACAAGCCAUUUAGAGGCAGUGUCAAAUUUUGUUAUUCAAUGUCAAAGGUGCCAAGGUUAACAAAAUUGAACCAGAGAUUUUGUCAUCUUUAGCUCUAAGGCGGCCCGAGGGCAAAUAGUCCAGUUUUGAAUUCAACUGUGCCAUUGGAAUAAAGGACACAAUAUAAAGACAGUGUGAGCCUAAGUUUCAGAUUAUUGGUUCACAAAUAACAUCGAGAUCAUGAAGAAUUCACAUGUUUUACAUUGUUAUAUUUCAAGCUCUAUGAGAUUUUCACCUGUAUGUUACACUUGACUUAUACUACCUUUGUCCAUCUAUUCAGCAGGCAUGAUGGAUUUCCAAAUUUGAUUACUGAAGCAACCUUUGUCACAUCAUAGCUUUUAAUGUUCUGUUGUAGUUAUGUAACUAUUUAUUUGCAUAAUCUUUCAAUAAAUCACAUGUUUCCUUGA